UACAGAGGUCCCGAGCGUUGUUCGGAUUCAUUGGGCGUAAAGGGUGCGUAGGCGGCGGGGCAAGUCUGAUGUGAAAUCCCGGGGCUCAACCCCGGAACUGCAUUGGAUACUGCCUUGCUAGAGUACUGGAGAGGGAACUGGAAUUUACGGUGUAGCAGUGAAAUGCGUAGAGAUCGUAAGGAAGGCCAGUGGCGAAGGCGAGUCUCUGGACAGUUCCUGACACUGAGGCACGAAGGCCAGGGGAGCAAACGGG
rnacentral:rRNA from 1 species